rnacentral:rRNA from 1 species
UACGGAGGGAGCUAGCGUUGUUCGGAAAUACUGGGCGUAAAGCGCACGUAGGCGGCGCAGCAAGUCAGGGGUGAAAUCCCGGGGCUCAACCUCGGAACUGCCCUUGAAACUGCAGUGCUAGAAUCUUGGAGAGGCGAGUGGAAUUCCGAGUGUAGAGGUGAAAUUCGUAGAUAUUCGGAAGAACACCAGUGGCGAAGGCGACUCGCUGGACAAGUAUUGACGCUGAGGUGCGAAAGCGUGGGGGGCAAACAGG